rnacentral:rRNA from 1 species
AACGAACGCUGGCGGCAUGCCUAACACAUGCAAGUCGAACGAACCCUUCGGGGUUAGUGGCGCACGGGUGCGUAACACGUGGAAUCUGCCCUUUGCUUCGGAAUAACAGUUAGAAAUGACUGCUAAUACCGGAUGAUGUCGUAAGACCAAAGAUUUAUCGGCAAAGGAUGAGCCCGCGUAGGAUUAGGUAGUUGGUGGGGUAAAAGGCCUACCAUGCCGACGAUCCUUAGCUGGUCUGAGAGGAUGAUCAGCCACACUGGGACUGAGACACGGCCCAGACUCCUACGGGAGGCAGCAGUGGGGAAUAUUGGACAAUGGGCGAAAGCCUGAUCCAGCAAUGCCGCGUGAGUGAUGAAGGCCUUCGGGUUGUAAAGCUCUUUACCAGGGAUGAUAAUGACAGUACCUGGAGAAUAAAGCUCCGGCUAACUCCGUGCCAGCAGCCGCGGUAAU